rnacentral:rRNA from 1 species
UACGGAGGGUGCAAGCGUUAUCCGGAUUCACUGGGUUUAAAGGGUGCGUAGGUGGGCUGGUAAGUCAGUGGUGAAAUCUCCAAGCUUAACUUGGAAACUGCCGUUGAUACUAUCAUUCUUGAAUCUCGUGGAGGUAAGCGGAAUAUGUCAUGUAGCGGUGAAAUGCUUAGAUAUGACAUAGAACACCGAUAGCGAAGGCAGCUUGCUACACGAGUAUUGACACUGAGGCACGAAAGCGUGGGGAUCAAACAGG